GUAGUACUCCCUUCGUCCUAAAAUUCUUGUCUUACAUUUGUCUAAAUAUGGAUGUAUCAAGUCACGUUUUAGCAUUAGAUACAUAUAUAUCUAGACAAGUCUAAAACAAGAAUUUUGGUACGGAGGGAGUACAUA
rfam:Triticum aestivum genome assembly, contig: Triticum_aestivum_CS42_TGACv1_scaffold_158595_2DL